rnacentral:rRNA from 1 species
AGAAAAAGCACCGGCUAACUUCGUGCCAGCAGCCGCGGUAAUACGAAGGGUGCAAGCGUUGUUCGGAUUUACUGGGCGUAAAGCGUCCGUAGGUGGUUUGUUAAGUCAGGGGUGAAAUCCCAGGGCCCAACCCUGGAACUGCCUUUGAUACUGGCAAGCUGGAGCGCGAUAGAGGAAGAUGGAAUAUCUGGUGUAGGGGUGAAAUCCGUAGAUAUCAGAUAGAACACCAAUGGCGAAGGCAGUCUUCUGGAUCGUUGCUGACACUGAGGGACGAAAGCGUGGGUAGCAAACAGAAUUAGAUACUCUGGUAGUCCACGCCCUAAACGAUGCAUGCUUGUUGUUGGUUUCCUUCGGGGGAUCAGUGACGGAGUUAACGCGUUAAGCAUGCCGCCUGGGGACUACGAUCGCAAGAUUAAAACUUAAAGGAAUUGACGGGGACCCGCACAAGCAGUGGAGUAUGUUGUUUAAUUCGAUGCUACGCGAGAAACCUUACCGACCCUUGACAUCUUGGUCGCGACUUCCAGAGAUGGUUGUCUUCAAUUCGGUUGGACCAAAGACAGAUGCUGCAUGGCUGUCGUCAGCUCGUGUCGUGAGAUGUUAGGUUAAGUCCUGCAACGAGCGCAACCCACGCCCUAUGUUGCCAGCGGGUAAUGCCGGGAACUCUUAGGGGACUGCCCGCGUCAAGCGGGAGGAAGGUGUGGAUGACGUCAAGUCAUCAUGGUUCUUACGGGUCGGGCUACAAACGUACUACAAUGGNNCGGUGAAUACGUUCCCGGGUCUUGUACACACCGCCUGUCAAACCAUGAGAGUCGAUUUCACCCAAAGUCGGUAGUUUAACGCAAGAGGGCGCCGCCUACGGUGGGAUUGGUGAUUGGGGUUAAGUCAUAACAAGGUAGCAGUACCGGAAGGUGCGGCUGGAUCACCUCCU